rnacentral:rRNA from 1 species
AAAUUGAAGAGUUUGAUCAUGGCUCAGAUUGAACGCUGGCGGCAGGCCUAACACAUGCAAGUCGAACGGUAACAGGAAGCAGCUUGCUGCUUCGCUGACGAGUGGCGGACGGGUGAGUAAUGUCUGGGAAACUGCCUGAUGGAGGGGGAUAACUACUGGAAACGGUGGCUAAUACCGCAUAACGUCGCAAGACCAAAGAGGGGGACCUUCGGGCCUCUUGCCAUCAGAUGUGCCCAGAUGGGAUUAGCUUGUUGGUGAGGUAACGGCUCACCAAGGCGACGAUCCCUAGCUGGUCUGAGAGGAUGACCAGCCACACUGGAACUGAGACACGGUCCAGACUCCUACGGGAGGCAGCAGUGGGGAAUAUUGCACAAUGGGCGCAAGCCUGAUGCAGCCAUGCCGCGUGUAUGAAGAAGGCCUUCGGGUUGUAAAGUACUUUCAGCGGGGAGGAAGGUGCUGUGGUUAAUAACC